AACGCAUAUUGCACCCUCUGGUAUUCCGGGGGGUAUGCUUGUUUGAGAACCGUUACACCUCUCACAAACUGGACCUGAUUUCGGUCAGGAAAAGCAAGUGGAUUUGGCGCGUUCCCUGUGUGUUUUUUUUUUUUAAAAAAAAUAUAGGGAUGCGCUGAAAUGCAGUGAUCGGAGCUUGCGUGCUUAAAGGGUCUUCUCUUUAACAGUACCGUACUCUUUGAUAACCGACGUGGAUUAAUUGGGUACUCGUCUACCUUUUCUCAGCGUCCUUAAAUCGAGUCGAGAAAUCUGAGAGAAUUCAAAUUCCAAACCUUUUCGCUAUGCCUACAAGGUAACCGCGAGUAUACGGCUCAUACCUAAACAUGCCAGGCGAUCCAACAAAAAACUCUUUUGUGGGGUUGUACACCUGAUACUUUGGUCUCAAAUCAAGCAAGGCGACCCGCUGAACUUAA
rnacentral:misc_RNA from 1 species